AUACGUAGGGAGCGAGCGUUGUCCGGAAUUACUGGGUGUAAAGGGAGCGUAGGCGGGAGUGCAAGUCAGAUGUGAAAUACAUGGGCUCAACCCAUGGGCUGCAUUUGAAACUGCAUUUCUUGAGUGAAGUAGAGGUAAGCGGAAUUCCUGGUGUUGCGGUGAAAUGCGUAGGUAUCAGGAGGAACACCGGUGGCGAAGGCGGCUUACUGGGCUUUUACUGACGCUGAGGCUCGAAAGCGUGGGGAGCAAACAGGAUUAGAUACCCUGGUAGUCCACGCUGUAAACGAUGAUUACUAGGUGUGGGGGGACUGACCCCUUCCGUGCCGCAGUUAACACAAUAAGUAAUCCACCUGGGGAGUACGGCCGCAAGGUUGAAACUCAAAUGAAUUGGCGGGG
rnacentral:rRNA from 1 species